AAACUUACCAGGUCAAGACAUGGGCGUGAUUGACAGGCUAAUGACUUUUCUCGAUUCCAUGGAUGGUGGUGCAUGGUCGCACUUAGUUGGUGCAGUGAUUUGUCAGGUUUAUUCCGGUAACGAACGAGACCUCGGCCUUGUAAAUAGCUAUGCUGCUUACAGGGACAUUGGCGGCUACGCCAAGGAAGCUCGAGGCAAUUGCAGAUCUGGAAUGCCCUUAGAUGUCCUGGGUCGCACGCGUGCUACAAUGACGCCACGAACGGGCUUGCGUGAUGAAAGUUACGCAUAAUCAGCAGUCGGCGUCUUAAGGGAUAGUCUCUUGUAACUGUGGGACUCCAACUAGGAAUGUCUCGUAAGCACAAGUCAACAUCUUGUGUUGAUUACGUCCCUGCUCUUUGUACACACCGCCCGUCGCUCCUACCGAUCGAGUGUUUAGGCGAAUUUGAUGGACGUAAGGAAGUCAAAUAAACCUGAGCACUAGAGAAGAGAAGUCGAGCAGC
rnacentral:rRNA from 1 species